UACAGAGGUCUCAAGCGUUGUUCGGAUUCAUUGGGCGUAAAGGGUGCGUAGGUGGCGAGGCAAGCCAGAUGUGAAAUCCCGGGGCUCAACCCCGGAACUGCAUUUGAAACUGCCUUGCUCGAGUACUGGAGAGGAGACUGGAAUUUACGGUGUAGCAGUGAAAUGCGUAGAUAUCGUAAGGAAGACCAGUGGCGAAGGCGAGUCUCUGGACAGUUACUGACACUGAGGCACGAAGGCCAGGGGAGCAAACGGG
rnacentral:rRNA from 1 species